UGCCGCGUGAGUGAAGAAGGCCUUCGGGUUGUAAAGCUCUUUCGACGGGGACGAUGAUGACGGUACCCGUAUAAGAAGCCCCGGCUAACUUCGUGC
rnacentral:rRNA from 1 species